CCUACGGGAGGCAGCAGUGAGGAAUAUUGGUCAAUGGACGCAAGUCUGAACCAGCCAUGCCGCGUGCAGGAUGACGGCUCUAUGAGUUGUAAACUGCUUUUGUACGAGGGUAAACCCCGAUACGUGUAUCGGGUUGAAAGUAUCGUACGAAUAAGGAUCGGCUAACUCCGUGCCAGCAGCCGCGGUAAUACGGAGGAUCCGAGCGUUAUCCGGAUUUAUUGGGUUUAAAGGGUGCGUAGGCCGUUUGAUAAGUGAGAGGUGAAAUGUCGGGGCUCAACCACGAAACUGCCUCUAAUACUGUUGGGCUAGAGAAUAGUUACGGUAGGCGGAAUGUAUGGUGUAGCGGUGAAAUGCUUAGAGAUCAUGAAGAACACCGAUUGCGAAGGCAGCUUACCAAACUAUAUCUGACGUUGAGGCACGAAGGCGUGGGUAGCGAACAGGAUUAGAUACCCGAGUAGUC
rnacentral:rRNA from 1 species